UACGUAGGGGGCUAGCGUUGUCCGGAAUCAUUGGGCGUAAAGCGCGCGUAGGCGGCCAGAUAAGUCCGGUGUGAAAGUCAAAGGCUCAACCUUUGAAUGCCGCUGGAAACUGUCUGGCUAGAGUCCGGAAGGGGCGAGUGGAACUCCUGGUGUAGCGGUGAAAUGCGCAGAUAUCAGGAAGAACACCAAUGGCGAAGGCAGCUCGCUAGGACGGUACUGACGCUGAGGCGCGAAAGCGUGGGGAGCGAACAGG
rnacentral:rRNA from 1 species